UUUUUCUUUUCCCUCCAAUUUUUUUCCCCUCUAAAUCUUCUCCCGCCUGAAUAGUAUAUCACUUCUCUGAUUUGCCUAAAAAAAGGAAAACCUACGCCUCUAAGAAUUAGGUCUCAUUCUUAAAAAACUUUUUACAAUUUUCAUGGUGUAAGAAAACGUUCGCCUCUAGCAACCAAAAUUUUCGCCAAUUGAAAGAAAAAGUUCUCUAUCCCAACACGUGGAGAAGCGUAUGUCUUAAAGUCAAUUGGAAAAAAAAUGGAAAGAUUACAAAUGCGAUUUAAAAAGUGAAUAUUUUGAAAAAUAUAAGACCAAAGAUGCUUUGCUGAAGAAUAGACCAGCAAGUCGCAUACCAAGGGAUCAAUGGACUGGUCUUGUUUCUUAUUGGCUUUCUGAUAAAGCUAAGAGGUGUACCCAGGCAAAUAAAAAUAAUAGGGCCAAACAAAAUAUGACUCACACAGGAGGAUCCAAAAGUAUUGCCACCUUAAUGGAUGCGCAGGCCAAGAAUGGUAUAGAGCCUACACGAGCAGAAAUAUUUAUACCGACACACAUAAAACAUAAGGAUGGUAGACUAUUGGAUGAGGAGUCUACAAAGGCAGUUGACAUGAUGAACGAAAGGUUGAGGGAUACUGACGGAUCAAAUGACCAGCCUCCCCGCAGUGUUGCUUGGGAAGGAGAUGUGUAUUCCCAAGUGUUGAAAAUGAUAAAAGUGGGUAUGUUCGUGGAUUAGGACUUGGUCCAACCCCUUCUAUGUUGUGGGGCAGUAGAUCUUCCUUAGGAAAUAUUGUUAUAGAGGAUUCGUCUGAUGAGGUUGUACAAGAACUAAAGCACUAGAUAACAGAGUUAAAAGAGUUAAAUAAAAAACAAAAUGAUGAAAUGAGUUUUAUGAGACAAGAACUAUCAUGGAUGCGGCAAGUCCUGAGAAAAAUUGCUCCAAAUGAGUUACCUAUGCCUCAGAAUAUCAAUGGAGUCUCAACUGGAGAGGUCGUUGAUACCAACCGUGGCCAUGAGGGAAUACCACAAUCACCCAAUAUGUAUAAUGUAGCUGGAAAUACUCCGUCGUCUCGUGGUACUUUUCUGUGCUUUCACAUAAACUCUUUUUUGUUCUAUUCAUUCUAUAAGUGAAAAGCAUUAUGUAAGAAAUAUAUUAAUGCAAACCUUGACAGACUGUAGCAAAGGAUUAUUAGUUUAGUUUUAUCUAGUAAUCAUUCAUCCUGUGAAGUGGCUUUGUGUGUCGUCGGCCAUUUUGGUUGUAUUUACAUGAUUAUGUGUAGCUGAUUCAUAGAGAGAUACCUUAAGGCAUAGAAACUCAAAUAAAAAGAUACGUCCUCAAGUGAGUUGGUAGAGACUCACUUUAU